rnacentral:rRNA from 1 species
CAGUCGCCACGGGAAUACGAGGGGGGCAAGCGUUGUUCGGAAUUAUUGGGCGUAAAAGGUGCGUAGGCGGCUUGACAAGUCUUGUGUGAAAUCUAUGGGCUCAACCCAUAGUCUGCACGGGAAACUGUCGGGCUUGAGUUCGGGAGAGGUGAGUGGAAUUCCCAGUGUAGAGGUGAAAUUCGUAGAUAUUGGGAAGAACACCAGUGGCGAAGGCGGCUCACUGGACCGACACUGACGCUGAGGCGCGAAAGCGUGGGGAGCAAACAGGAUUAGAGACCCCCGUAGUCCCUGUCUCUUAUAC